rnacentral:rRNA from 1 species
UACAGAGGUCUCAAGCGUUUGUUCGGAUUCAUUGGGCGUAAAGGGUGCGUAGGUGGCGCUGUAAGUCGGGUGUGAAAUUUCGGAGCUUAACUCCGAAACUGCAUUCGAUACUGCGGUGCUUGAGGACUGGAGAGGAGACUGGAAUUCAUGGUGUAGCAGUGAAAUGCGUAGAGAUCAUGAGGAAGACCAGUGGCGAAGGCGGGGUCUCUGGACAGUUCCUGACACUGAGGCACGAAGGCCAGGGGGAGCAAAACGGGG